UACGUAGGGUGCAUGCGUUAAUCGGAAUUACUGGGCGUAAAGCGUGCGCAGGCGGCUUUGCAAGACAGAUGUGAAAUCCCCGGGCUUAACCUGGGAACUGCAUUUGUGACUGCAUGGCUAGAGUGCGGCAGAGGGGGAUGGAAUUCCGCGUGUAGCAGUGAAAUGCGUAGAUAUGCGGAGGAACACCGAUGGCGAAGGCAAUCCCCUGGGCCUGCACUGACGCUCAUGCACGAAAGCGUGGGGAGCAAACAGG
rnacentral:rRNA from 1 species